AUUGAACGCUGGCGGCAUGCUUUACACAUGCAAGUCGAACGGAUUUUGGAGCUUGCUCCAGAGUCAGUGGCGAACGGGUGAGUAAUAUAUCGGAACGUACCCGGCAAUGGGGGAUAACGUAGCGAAAGUUACGCUAAUACCGCAUAUGCCCUGAGGGGGAAGGCAGGGGACCAGUAAUGGCCUUGCGUUGUCGGAGCGGCCGAUAUCGGAUUAGCUAGUUGGUGAGGUAAAGGCUCACCAAGGCGACGAUCCGUAGCGGGUCUGAGAGGAUGAUCCGCCACACUGGGACUGAGACACGGCCCAGACUCCUACGGGAGGCAGCAGUGGGGAAUUUUGGACAAUGGGCGAAAGCCUGAUCCAGCCAUGCCGCGUGAGUGAAGAAGGCCUUCGGGUUGUAAAGCUCUUUCAGGUGGAAAGAAAAGGUUACGGAUAAUACCUGUAACUGAUGACGGUACCAUCAGAAGAAGCACCGGCUAACUACGUGCCAGCCGCCGCAGUAA
rnacentral:rRNA from 1 species